rnacentral:rRNA from 1 species
UACGGGAGGCAGCAGUGGGGAAUAUUGCACAAUGGGCGCAAGCCUGAUGCAGCCAUGCCGCGUGUAUGAAGAAGGCCUUCGAGUUGUAAAGUACUUUCAGUCGUGAGGAAGGUGUUAAGGUUAAUAACCUUAGCAAUUGACGUUAGCGACAGAAGAAGCACCGGCUAACUCCGUGCCAGCAGCCGCGGUAAUACGGAGGGUGCGAGCGUUAAUCGGAAUUACUGGGCGUAAAGGGCACGCAGGCGGUUAAUUAAGUUGGAUGUGAAAUCCCCGGGCUUAACCUGGGAAUGGCAUUCAAGACUGGUUAGCUAGAGUCUUGUAGAGGGGGUAGAAUUCCAUGUGUAGCGGUGAAAUGCGUAGAGAUGUGGAGGAAUACCGGUGGCGAAGGCGGCCCCUGGGACAAAGGACUGACGCUCAUGUGCGAAAGCGUGGGGAGCAAACAGGAUUAGAUACC